rfam:Gossypium hirsutum cultivar TM-1 chromosome 20, whole genome shotgun sequence
AAGCCAUGAUAAGGGCACUUUCGUAAUAACUCCUUGAACCCCUCCCAUGCCUUAUAUAAAGAUUCUUCGUUAAGUUGUUAAAAUUAAGCGAUUUCAUUUCAAAUCUU